CCUACGGGAGGCAGCAGUGAGGAAUAUUGGUCAAUGGGCGGGAGCCUGAACCAGCCAAGUCGCGUGAGGGAAGACGGUCCUAUGGAUUGUAAACCUCUUUAGGCGGGGAGCAAUGCCGGGCACGCGUGCCCGGAGGGAGAGUACCCGCAGAAUAAGCAUCGGCUAACUCCGUGCCAGCAGCCGCGGUAAUACGGAGGAUGCGAGCGUUAUCCGGAUUUAUGGGGUUUAAAGGGUGCGUAGGCGGAUUUUUAAGUCAGCGGUAACAGAUCCGGGCUCAACCCGGGCCGGCCGUUGAAACUGGGGAUCUUGAGUGGGCGAGAAGUAUGCGGAAUGCGUGGUGUAGCGGUGAAAUGCAUAGAUAUCACGCAGAAAUCCGAUUGCGAAGGCAGCAUACCGGCGCCCGACUGACGCUGAGGCACGAAAGCGUGGGGAUCGAACAGGAUUAGAUACCCUAGUAGUC
rnacentral:rRNA from 1 species